GCGCCCGAUCAAGAAGAACUAACUGGUUCUCCCUCCGAAGGCAGGGGUCGCAGGUUCAAAUCCUGCCGGGCGCGCCA
rnacentral:tRNA from 1 species